UGGGUAACAUUUUCUUUGCUGUGCAACUA
rnacentral:piRNA from 1 species